UACGUAGGGGGCGAGCGUUGUCCGGAUUUACUGGGCGUAAAACGCUUGUAGGCGGCCACGCCAAGUCGGACGUGGAAAUCUCCCGGCUUAACUGGGAGGGUCGUUCGAUACUGGCGGGCUCGAGGGCAGGGUAGGGGGAAGCGGAAUUCCCGGUGUAGUGGUGGAAUGCGUAGAUAUCGGGAGAACACCAGUGGCGGAAGGCGG
rnacentral:rRNA from 1 species